rnacentral:rRNA from 1 species
UGGGGAAUUUUGGACAAUGGGCGCAAGCCUGAUCCAGCCAUGCCGCGUGCGGGAAGAAGGCCUUCGGGUUGUAAACCGCUUUUGUCAGGGAAGAAAUCUUCUGAGUUAAUACCUCGGGAGGAUGACGGUACCUGAAGAAUAAGCACCGGCUAACUACGUGCCAGCAGCCGCGGUAAUACGUAGGGUGCAAGCGUUAAUCGGAAUUACUGGGCGUAAAGCGUGCGCAGGCGGUUUUGUAAGACAGAGGUGAAAUCCCCGGGCUCAACCUGGGAACUGCCUUUGUGACUGCAAGGCUUGAGUGGCGGCAGAGGGGGGCAAUGGAAACUUCCGCGUGUAGCAGUGAAAUUGCGUAGAUAUGCGGAGGAACACCGAUGGCGAAGGCAAUCCCCCUGGGCCUGCACUGACGCUCAUGCACGAAAGCGUGGGGAGCAAACAGGAUUAGAUACCCUGGUAGUCCACGCCCUAAAACGAUGUCAACUGGUUGUUGGGGAAGGUUUCCCUUCCUCAGUAACGUAGCUAACGCNUGAA